UAAUAUUUAAGUUUGGUACAGCAUGAGACUUUUCAUCUCAGGGUCAUGGGUUCAAGCCCCAUGCUGGGCUAAA